rnacentral:lncRNA from 1 species
GCGGAGGAACCGCCACUGGGUGAGCACAUUGACGGUACUCAUUGGUGGAAGGGUACAGAUAAUCAGCGUUGCCCAUCAAAGUAUAUGCUGUUAUUAAUUGAGUUUAGCAGCAGAGAUAUAUGUGUGUGUGUGUGUGUGUGUGUGUGUGUGUGUGUGUGUGUGUGUGUGGAGGAGAUUGAAUAGAAGAAAGAAGAUGGAAAGAGGAAGGGAGAGUAAGUGCUGGGGGGAUGUGAAAUGGGAU